GUAGGGAAUAUUGGGCAAUGGAUGCAAGUCUGACCCAGCCAUCCCGCGUGUCGGAAGAAGGCCCUCAGGGUUGUAAACGGCUUUUGACGGUGAAGAAUCGACAGGAUGCGUCCUGUUUUGACGGUAGCCGUUGAAUAAGCACCGGCUAACUCCGUGCCAGCAGCCGCGGUAAUACGGAGGGUGCGAGCGUUGUCCGGAUUUAUUGGGUUUAAAGGGUGCGUAGGCUGGAAGGUCAGUCAGCGGUGAAAAGCUGUCGCUUAACGAUAGUCUUGCCGCAGAUACUUCCUUUCUUGGAUGAGGAGGAGGCCACUGGAACGGAUGGUGUAGCGGUGAAAUGCAUAGAUAUCAUCCAGAACACCGAUUGCGAAGGCAGGUGGCUGUACCUUAAUCGACGCUGAUGCACGAAAGCAUGGGGAGCAAACAGGAUUAGAUACCCCGGUAGUCC
rnacentral:rRNA from 1 species